rnacentral:rRNA from 1 species
UUAAAUUGAAGAGUUUGAUCAUGGCUCAGAUUGAACGCUGGCGGCAGGCCUAACACAUGCAAGUCGAACGGUAACAGAAAGCAGCUUGCUGCUUUGCUGACGAGUGGCGGACGGGUGAGUAAUGUCUGGGAAACUGCCCGAUGGAGGGGGAUAACUACUGGAAACGGUAGCUAAUACCGCAUAACGUCGCAAGACCAAAGAGGGGGACCUUCGGGCCUCUUGCCAUCGGAUGUGCCCAGAUGGGAUUAGCUAGUAGGUGGGGUAAA